rnacentral:rRNA from 1 species
AUUGAACGCUGGCGGCAGGCCUAACACAUGCAAGUCGAGCGGGGUUUUCGGACCUAGCGGCGGACGGGUGAGUAAUGCGUAGGAAGCUGCCCGAUAGAGGGGGAUACCAGUUGGAAACGACUGUUAAUACCGCAUAAUGUCUACGGACCAAAGUGUGGGACCUUCGGGCCACAUGCUAUCGGAUGCGCCUACGUGGGAUUAGCUAGUUGGUGAGGUAAUGGCUCACCAAGGCGACGAUCUCUAGCUGGUUUGCGAGGAUGAUCAGCCACACUGGAACUGAGACACGGGCCAGACUCCUACGGGAGGCAGCGGGGGGGAAUAUUGGACAAUGGGCGCAAGCCUGAUCCAGCCAUGCCGCGUGUGUGAAGAAGGCCUUCGGGUUGUAAAGCACUUUCAGCGAGGAGGAAGGGUGGUGUGUUAAUAGCACAUCAUUUUGAUGUUACUCGCAGAAGAAGCACCGGCUAACUCUGUGCCAGCCGCCGCCGUAACAC